AUACGUAGGGGGCUAGCGUUAUCCGGAAUUACUGGGCGUAAAGGGUGCGUAGGUGGUUUCUUAAGUCAGAAGUGAAAGGCUACGGCUCAACCGUAGUAAGCUUUUGAAACUAAGAGACUUGAGUGCAGGAGAGGAGAGUAGAAUUCCUAGUGUAGCGGUGAAAUGCGUAGAUAUUAGGAGGAAUACCAGUUGCGAAGGCGGCUCUCUGGACUGUAACUGACACUGAGGCACGAAAGCGUGGGGAGCAAACAGGAUUAGAUACCCUGGUAGUCCACGCCGUAAACGAUGAGUACUAGCUGUCGGGGGUUACCCCCCUCGGUGGCGCAGCUAACGCAUUAAGUACUCCGCCUGGGAAGUACGCUCGCAAGAGUGAAACUCAAAGGAAUUGACGGG
rnacentral:rRNA from 1 species